rnacentral:lncRNA from 1 species
UUAAACCAUAUCCGAUUCCAAAAUCAAUUAAACCAUUUUCCAAAUAAUUCCAUAAUAUGAUCCAAAACCAUAUGCAUGUAGUUUGUCCAUAAAAAUAAAUAAUAAUAAUAAUGCAAUGGAGAAAAAAGCAAAUGAAAUGAUACAGCAGUACAAUGCAAACAGCAAGCUUCAUCAAGCUACACACUCCAAGUGAAGCCAGCGUCAAAGC